UACGGAGGAUCCAAGCGUUAUCCGGAUUUAUUGGGUUUAAAGGGUGCGUAGGCGGGAUAAUAAGUCAGUGGUGAAAGCUCACAGCUUAACUGUGGAACUGCCAUUGAUACUGUUAACCUUGAGUGUGUUUGAAGUGGGCGGAAUGUGCAGUGUAGCGGUGAAAUGCUUAGAUAUUGCACAGAACACCAAUUGCGAAGGCAGCUCACUAAACCAUAACUGACGCUGAGGCACGAAAGUGUGGGGAUCAAACAGG
rnacentral:rRNA from 1 species